rnacentral:rRNA from 1 species
ACGGAAGGCAGCAGUGGGGAAUAUUGCACAAUGGGCGAAAGCCUGAUGCAGCGACGCCGCGUGAGUGAAGAAGUAUCUCGGUAUGUAAAGCUCUAUCAGCAGGGAAGAAAAUGACGGUACCUGACUAAGAAGCCCCGGCUAACUACGUGCCAGCAGCCGCGGUAAUACGUAGGGGGCAAGCGUUAUCCGGAUUUACUGGGUGUAAAGGGAGCGUAGACGGUUUGGCAAGUCUGAAGUGAAAUGCGGGGGCUCAACUCCUGAACUGCUUUGGAAACUGUCGAACUAGAGUGCAGGAGAGGUAAGUGGAAUUCCUAGUGUAGCGGUGAAAUGCGUAGAUAUUAGGGGGAACACCAGUGGCGAAGGCGGCUUACUGGACUGUAACUGACGUUGAGGCUCGAAAGCGUGGGGAGCAAACAGGAUUAGAUACCCUGGUA